GUGACCUCAAAUCAGGUAGGACUACCCGCUGAACUUAAGCAUAUCAAUAAGCGGAGGAAAAGAAACUAACAAGGAUUCCCCUAGUAACUGCGAGUGAAGCGGGAAAAGCUCAAAUUUAAAAUCUGGCGGUCUUUUGGCUGUCCGAGUUGUAGUCUAGAGAAGUGUUAUCCGCGCUGGACCGUGUACAAGUCUCCUGGAAUGGAGCAUCAUAGAGGGUGAGAAUCCCGUCUUUGACAUGGACUGCC
rnacentral:rRNA from 1 species